rnacentral:rRNA from 1 species
UACAGAGGGUGCGAGCGUUAAUCGGAAUUACUGGGCGUAAAGCGCGCGUAGGCGGCUUUGCAAGUCGGGUGUGAAAUCCCCAGGCUUAACCUGGGAACUGCAUUCGAGACUGCAUUGCUAGAGUAUGGGAGAGGGAAGUGGAAUUUCCGGUGUAGCGGUGAAAUGCGUAGAUAAUCGGAAGGAACAUCAGUGGCGAAAGCGACUUCCUGGACCAAUACUGACGCUCAUGUGCGAAAGCGUGGGGAGCAAA